AUUGAACGCUGGCGGCAUGCCUUACACAUGCAAGUCGAACGGCAGCACGGGGGCAACCCUGGUGGCGAGUGGCGAACGGGUGAGUAAUGCAUCGGAACGUGCCCAGUAGUGGGGGAUAACCCGGCGAAAGCCGGGCUAAUACCGCAUACGACCUACGGGUGAAAGCGGGGGACCGUAGGCCUCGCGCUAUUGGAGCGGCCGAUGUCUGAUUAGCUAGUUGGCGGGGUAAAGGCCCACCAAGGCGACGAUCAGUAGCUGGUCUGAGAGGACGACCAGCCACACUGGGACUGGGACACGGCCCAGACUCCUACGGGAGGCAGCAGUGGGGAAUUUUGGACAAUGGGCGCAAGCCUGAUCCAGCCAUGCCGCGUGCGGGAAGAAGGCCUUCGGGUUGUAAACCGCUUUUGGCAGGAACGAAACGGCGCAAGCUAAUACCUUGCGCUAAUGACGGUACCUGCAGAAUAAGCACCGGCUAACUACGUGCCAGCCGCCGCCGUAAUAC
rnacentral:rRNA from 1 species